AACAAAUCUGUCAAAUAGGCGACGUCUGCUUUAAAAUUGAUUAGGUUUUUUUUUAAAUCAGGAUCUUUGCUGUCCAGAAAUUCUAAAACUGAAUUGAAAAGUGAAUAAAAUCUUGAUAAGCAUGCACCUUUCGACAACCAGCGUACUUCGGUAUGUAACAGCAAUCGUUGGAAAUCUUCAUCAUUUUCAUCGCACAAUUGUGUGAAUAAGCGCGAAUUUAAUGCAUUGCUUCUAAUUUUGUUAACUGCAUUAAUCACAAAUUAAAGCGAUUGGUGCAAUCUGUCACUUAAAUUUUUCGCUACUAGAUGUUGUCGGUGGAUAACACAAUGAAUUGUAGUUACCUCUUGUAUAAUUCUUUUAAGAUGGCUUAUAAACCCACGAUAUCGCCCGACCAUGGCAGGAGCUCCAUCUGUUGCCACCGAAAUAACGUUUGUGAAUGGAAUCGAUGUUUCUUUAAAAAAAUCACUGAGAACAGCAAAUAUUGAUUCACCUUUAGUGUCCGUCUUCAAAGUUCUUGCAAAUAGUAACUCUUCAUGGAUUUCUUCGCCCAUAACAAAUCGAACAUAUGCCAAUAAUAAUGCUUCGUUGCCAGGUAAAGUUGACUCGUCCAGUUGAAUAGAAAAAUGAGUUGUUUGCAGAUAAUCACACAAGAAACUUUCAACAUCAGAGCUCAUUUCAUCAAUACGUCUUUGUACAGUGUUGUUACUCAAGGGAAUUUUUUUUGAGUAUGUCUAAUGAAGAUUUGUGCAGAACAGUUUUUAAGACCUCUUCAACAGCAGGUAAAAUUAACUGUUCUCCAAUGGUGUGCGGUUUUCCAGAUUUUGCUAUGAGUAAUGAGAUAUUGUAAGAUGCCCGCAAGCCAUCAUCAUUGCUUUCAGACGUUGAAGCAAACAUACUGUGCACGGUGCUCUUCCAGCUUUGAUGGUUUCAUGGAGUCAUUGCCCAAAACUUUGUUGCAUAAAAUGCAUGUGGGCAACCGUUUGUCUGCCUGUGAUGGAAGAAAACCAAAUUUUAAAUAUUCAACACUAUACUGACGACACUUCUUCUUAGAUUCGGUCAUGUUUCGUAUCAAUUACCAAUCUGCAAUGUAAACAAUAAAUAAAAAACCGAACAAUCAAA